rfam:Proteobacteria bacterium SG_bin9 1745, whole genome shotgun sequence.
GUGCUCGAUCUGCUGCGGACAGAUGUAGUGAAUGUGGCUGUCGAAACCGCCGGCCGUGAGAAUUUUGCCCUCGCCCGCGAUGAUGUCGGUGCCCGGGCCGAUGACGAUGGUGACGCCCGGCUGGAUAUCCGGAUUGCCGGCCUUGCCGAUGGCGGCAAUGUUGCCGUCCUUGAUGGCGACAUCGGCUUUCACGAUGCCCCAGUGAUCGACGAUCAGCGCGUUGGUGAUGACGGUGUCGGCCGCGCCCUGCUUGUUGGUCACCUGCGACUGGCCCAUGCCGUCGCGGAUCAC